UGUGACUGCUAGAACCGCUCCUGC
rnacentral:miRNA from 1 species